AGGCCAUCUUUGAAGAAGUAAACAAGUACCAUACACUAAAGGGAUGACAGAACAACGAAACAAAAGAUUACAGCAAAGCUUUCUGCUUUCCUUUCUUGCUCUGAUACCCUCAAAAUUAUACUCUGUUCCUGGGAUUCCAGAGUCUUCUGCCACAACCAAGGCUUCCGAGGCGAUCCGGCAACAUCAGUCUUCAGCCGCUAAGCCAAGAAGAUCUGGGAAGGAGUCAAUCAGAGAGCCUUGGGCCAGAGUUCCAGGGGCUGUGGAAGUGGCUGCCAG
ensembl:lncRNA LINC01695 long intergenic non-protein coding RNA 1695